AUGUCUAGUGAGGUGUCUUCCACUGCAAUCCAAUCUGCUUUUACUGAUGAUUCUGUUGGACCUGACAACAUUAAAGGAUUUAGUGCAGUCCAGAAGUUAGCAGAGACAUUUGCUGGACUCAGGAACCAUAGCCUUGCCUUGACGAGAGAGGAAUCUGCACAAUUAUUAGUUUGUGGCAAGGGUUGGCAGAUUAUGACAAAGAGAGAAUUGUGUACUCAGCACACCAUCAGUCCUCUCUCAACAAAGGGAGGUUUAGGGCAACCAAAAAAAUCGUAGCACCAGGAGUAGAGAGUACCAGAAGAUGUUUUGUUGGAGCAAACAGACCUGCACAGUGGCCUGACGGCUACAGAAUUGUUGAGGCAGCUUUUGUAAAACUCUGCGCUCUCUAUCCUAACCCUGUACAUCAAGGAGGGGUUAAAAUCUCACAAUUGAACUUCAUUGUAUGUGCCUACAAGCAUAUCAGAGAGUGCAUCCUGAGUUACGCUGAAGUGAUGCAGCAGACCACCCUCCAAUUACCUGAGGUCAAUGCAGCUACACUUACACAAUGGUGAAUUAUUUCUGCACUUCAAAAUCAUGCAUAUGGGUUUGUGUUAAACUUCUUAUGAAAGCUAUUUAUGAUAACAUUUGUUAUUUCUAGGUACAGCAGACGUACAAAAUCUAACGAGAGGGAAAUUUUGACGCAAGGAAUUCAUACACCAGAUGCACCAAUGACAGCACCACGACUUCCACCAGCAAGAACAGAGUCUGCAGCAUGGGAGUAAUGACAGGCCUUUCGUUUUCAAUUUGCCUCCAAACACAGCCAGGAUGGCCAAAACAAGAUCUGGGCCACAUAUACCUGAAAUAAUACUGCCGCUAUCACCACCACCUGCACUGACCUCUCUUGCUAAACCAGGGCAGUCAUCUAGACCUCCGCCAGUUAUACUUCUGCUUCUGCUGCAUUUCAGCCUAUAAUGUUUAUUGUAUCACACCACAAACUGUGACACUGCCAGCAGCACCACCAACACCACAGCCUUCUGUACUGUACACCAUGAAGUACUGCAGGAAAGGGAGCAGAUGCCUGAAGUCAAGGAAAUAUGUGCAGAAGACUGAAGUAAUCCUGUGCAUGAAGUGUAACAAGGAGAGGAAACCACCAUCUCUAGUGCAUCUCAUCAGGACCAAGCUGGAGUUUUUGUCAGAUGUCCAGAGUAAUAGUCGUCUAUUAGCAGUACAUGAUUUUUCUAGCUUUAAGUUGCAGUGAGUUAAAAUAGACUUAUAUUGUCCAGUUGUUUGUUCACUUAUAGAUAGACCACCAAAAUAUAACAAACUGAAUUUUCUGAGUUCCUAACUGCAAUUGUACAGUUUUGAGAGGAUUUUAAUACUUGGUGAUUUUAACUUGCAUAUCUGGUGACCCAAAGAGCCCAUGGUGAAAGAGUUUCUACAUCUUAUUGAUUCCUUUAAUUUCACACAGUUUGUCUCAGGUUCUAUUCACAAACUUGGUCAUACUUUGGAUUUGAUAUUAUCAUUAUAUUACUGAAAAGACCACUUUGAAAUUGGCCUUACGGUCUCUUUUUGCAUGUUUUAAUGAUAUUAUAGAAAGGAUGGCAGCAAACUUUCUUCACUUGAAUGAAUCAAAGACCAGAGUGAUAAUGUUUGGCCCUCUGAGUGUCUCUGAACCCAUAAUUAACCAAUUAGGUUCAUUUAAAUCUAAAGUACAUAAUCAUGCAAAGAGUCUUGGAGUCAUUUUUGACGCAGAGUUAAAGUUUGAUUUAGGAAUUAUAAUGAAGGAAUAUAGCAAAAUUGAAACCUUUUCCAUCUUUUAAUGAUUUGGAAGUUGUUAUCCACGCUUUUAUCGUGUCCAGACUGGGAUAUUGUAAUUCCUUGUACAAUGGUGUUGCUCAUGCAACAAUUUCACACCUGCAGCUGGUUCAAAAUGCAGCUGCUAGGCUUCUAACUGGGACUAGGAAGUAUUGGCAUCCCUUCAUUGGCUUCCAGUUAAAUUUAGGAUUCAGUAUAAGUUAUUAUUAUUUGUUUUUAAAGGUUUAAAUGGACUGGCACCAAGUUAUAUUAGUGAACCUCUUCUGCGGCAUACACCAUUCAGGCCCUUUCGAUCUACACAGACUCCAGCUAGGAGGAGACAGGGCCUUUUCUGUCGUAGCUCCAUGUUUAUGGAAUAGUUUACCUCUCCAUGUUUGAUCUUGUGCCACUCUUGGUGUUUUAAAAUUUUAAUUUUAUCUAUUUUUGUGAUGUGUUACUGUGUUCUAUAAUUUUAGACUGUAUGUGUUAUGUCUGAUUUGUAAAGCACUUUGGCCAAAGUCUUCUGUUUUUAAUUGUGCUAUAUAAAUAAAACAGAAUAGAAUCUCA
ensembl:lncRNA